rnacentral:rRNA from 1 species
GUAGGCCUAACACAUGCAAGUCGAACGGCAGCACAGUAAGAGCUUGCUCUUAUGGGUGGCGAGUGGCGGACGGGUGAGGAAUACAUCGGAAUCUACCUUUUCGUGGGGGAUAACGUAGGGAAACUUACGCUAAUACCGCAUACGACCUUCGGGUGAAAGCAGGGGACCUUCGGGCCUUGCGCGGAUAGAUGAGCCGAUGUCGGAUUAGCUAGUUGGCGGGGUAAAGGCCCACCAAGGCGACGAUCCGUAGCUGGUCUGAGAGGAUGAUCAGCCACACUGGAACUGAGACACGGUCCAGACUCCUACGGGAGGCAGCAGUGGGGAAUAUUGGACAAUGGGCGCAAGCCUGAUCCAGCCAUACCGCGUGGGUGAAGAAGGCCUUCGGGUUGUAAAGCCCUUUUGUUGGGAAAGAAAAGCAAUCGGCUAAUACCCGGUUGUUCUGACGGUACCCAAAGAAUAAGCACCGGCUAACUUCGUGCCAGCAGCCGCGGUAAUACGAAGGGUGCAAGCGUUACUCGGAAUUACUGGGCGUAAAGCGUGCGUAGGUGGUUGUUUAAGUCUGUUGUGAAAGCCCUGGGCUCAACCUGGGAAUUGCAGUGGAUACUGGGCGACUAGAGUGUGGUAGAGGGUUAGUGGGAAUUCCCGGUGUAGCAGUGAAAUGCGUAGAGAUCGGGAGGAACAUCCAUGGCGAAGG